rnacentral:rRNA from 1 species
UGGGGAAUUUUGGACAAUGGGGGCAACCCUGAUCCAGCCAUGCCGCGUGAGUGAAGAAGGCCUUCGGGUUGUAAAGCUCUUUCGGCGGGGACGAAACGGUUCGUGACAACACCACGGACUAAUGACGGUACUCGCAGAAGAAGCACCGGCUAACUACGUGCCAGCAGCCGCGGUAAUACGUAGGGUGCAGGCGUUAAUCGGAAUUACUGGGCGUAAAGCGUGCGCAGGCGGCUCCUUAAGUCAGAUGUGAAAUCCCCGGGCUUAACCUGGGAACUGCGUUUGAAACUGAGGGGCUAGAGUGUGGAAGAGGGGGGUGGAAUUCCAGGUGUAGCAGUGAAAUGCGUAGAGAUCUGGAGGAACACCGAUGGCGAAGGCAGCCCCCUGGGCUAACACUGACGCUCAUGCACGAAAGCGUGGGGAGCAAACAGGAUUAGAUACCCCUGUAGUCCCUGAGCGGGCUGGCAAGGCGCAU